GAAGAGUGAAAGCACGCUGCUGCUUGCUUGAAAGACGAACACCACGAGUCUGCCGCCUGAACAAGACCGGUCGGAUUCUUCGCUCUUGUAUACGUUUCGGUAUAUGGGGAGAUUGUUUACUGAGAAACGGUCCUCACUGAAAGGCUUGACAGCUAACCCAUUUAAGGGGAAAUAUUUAUCCUGAAGAUGCAGAUCAGCUUGAUCUUAACCGCUCUUUUCUGUUUCACAACAUGGAGGAGUUUGGUCCAAGCCAGCAAUGUAUCUCCUGGUAGAUGUCCAUGUACUGUGGUCUCCAAAACAAGAAUCCAUCAUUCUAAUAUUAAGAAGUACACCAUUCAGAACGACGGCAUUUGUACCUUUAAUGCAAUUGCGUUUCGUACAGUGAAAGGAAAGACGAUUUGCUCCGAUCCCAAUGAUGAAUGGGCAAAACAUGUCAUUCGGCAGCUGGAGAAAAGAC